rnacentral:rRNA from 1 species
AAGAAACCAACAGGGAUUGCCCCAGUAGCGGCGAGUGAAGCGGCAAGAGCUCAGAUUUGAAAUCGUGUUUCGGCACGAGUUGUAGAGUGUAGGCGGGAGUCUCUGUGGAGCGCGGUGUCCAAGUCCCUUGGAACAGGGUGCCUGAGAGGGUGAGAGCCCCGUAGGGUGCUGCGCGAAGCUUUUGAGGCCCUGCUGACGAGUCGAGUUGUUUGGGAAUGCAGCUCCAAGCGGGUGGUAAAUUCCAUCUAAGGCUAAAUAUUGGCGAGAGACCGAUAGCGAACAAGUACUGUGAAGGAAAGAUGAAAAGCACUUUGAAAAGAGAGUGAAACAGCACGUGAAAUUGUUGAAAGGGAAGGGUAUUGGGCUCGACAUGGGGGGUGCGCACCGCUGUCUCUUGUAGGCGGCGCUCUGGGCGCCCUCUGGGCCAGCAUCGGUUCCUGCUGCGGGAGAAGGGGCUCCGAAAAGUGGCUCUUCGGAGUGUUAUAGCCGGGGCCAGAUGCCGCGUGUGGGGACCGAGGACUGCGGCUUCUGUCUCGGAUGCUGGCAUAACGGCGCAAUACCGCCCGUCUUGAAACACGGACC